rnacentral:lncRNA from 1 species
AAAAUACUUUUUAAAUAAAGUAACAAAGUUCUUUUUUUUUUUUUUUUCAAAUCCUCUGGACUUUAUCAGCCUUAACCACCGGAUUGGCCUUUGCAAUUGCAUCGCGUCCAAGUUCUUUGAAAUCGAAGCCACACUCAUGCUUCUCCGGGUACCUAUGGCUCCCACAAAACGUGCUUCCGCAUUUGCACUUAAACCCCAUAACUCCAACCUUCUUGUUACAGCUGAAACACCUGUUCGGUCUUGCAGGUUUCGAUGGCUCUGCCUCCUCGUCCUGUUCCGUGGCUACGGGAACAGAAGACGGCUCAGCUGUCACAACGACGGUUUCCACAGAGGCUGGUUUAGUUUCCAGAGGCUGUUUUUGUUCUGGUGUGAUGAGACUGCAAGAUGGAAGCUUU